rnacentral:rRNA from 1 species
GAUAGUGUGAAUUGCAGGACACACUGAACAUCGAUACUUCGAAUGCACUUUGCGGCUCGGGGUCGGACUCCGAGCCUCGCUCGUCUGAGGGUCGUCGA